CCUACGGGUGGCAGCAGUGGGGGAUAUUGCACAAUGGGGGGAACCCUGAUGCAGCGACGCCGCGUGGGUGAAGAAGCGCCUCGGCGCGUAAAGCCCUGUCAGUAGGGAAGUAAAUGACGGUACCUGAAGAAGAAGCCCCGGCUAACUACGUGCCAGCAGCCGCGGUAAUACGUAGGGGGCAAGCGUUAUCCGGAUUUACUGGGUGUAAAGGGGGCGCAGACGGCGAUGCAAGCCAGGAGUGAAAGCCCGGGGCCCAACCCCGGGACUGCUCUUGGAACUGCGUGGCUAGAGUGCAGGAGGGGCAGGCGGAAUGCCUGGUGUAGCGGUGAAAUGCGUAGAUAUCAGGAGGAACACCGGUGGCGAAGGCGGCCUGCUGGACUGCAACUGACGUUGAGGCCCGAAAGCGUGGGGAGCAAACAGGAUUAGAUACCCUUGUAGUC
rnacentral:rRNA from 1 species